rnacentral:rRNA from 1 species
UACGAAGGGGGCUAGCGUUGCUCGGAUUGACUGGGCGUAAAGGGCGCGUAGGCGGUUCGUACAGUCAGACGUGAAAUUCCUGGGCUCAACCUGGGGGCUGCGUUUGAUACGUGCGGACUUGAGUGCGGAAGAGGGUCGUGGAAUUCCCAGUGUAGAGGUGAAAUUCGUAGAUAUCGGGGAGGAACAUCUGUGGCGAAGGCGACACCCCUGGACCAGCACUGACACUGAGGCACGAAAGCGUGGGGAGCAAACAGG